CACCUAUCAAGCCAUCACUGCAAUCAAGAUGAAAGUUGGUGGAACUGUAUCCUUAGAGAGAUGUUCGAAGGCGUGAAGAAGCAGGCUUGAUUCUAACCCAGCAGAAUAGACCCCAGAAAAAGACCACAAAACUAGCCUGCCAAGAGAGACGGUGCUGUUCUAGAACUCGUGAGAGUGCAUCUUUUAGAAGAGCCAAUUUCACAUCCAAAAAUUUAGUUGCGAGGAAGUCAAGUA